rnacentral:rRNA from 1 species
AUGGUUGGGGGGGAGCACAACAAAGCUAUUGUCUCCUCCCUGUAUAAGCUAGGCACCCAAAAUCUCCGCUCCCUGACUAUUGGGGAUCGGAGCGGCCUCUUACAUGAGGAAUCUUUGUGCCUGCCUACCCUCGAUGACCUUUUUAUAUGGUUUCCGGCCUUCCCGCAGCCAACAUGGGUGGGCUCCCUCAGAAACCUCCAGCAGCUACGCCUUGUUGUGAAGAGGUUCAAGCAGGACGACCUCUGCACCCUUGGGGCUUUACCUAGUCUGCUCGUUAUGUAUCUGGUGGAACAAACAGAGUCAAGCGGAAAGCUCAGAUUCAGUGGUGAGGUUGGGUUUUGA